AUUGAACGCUGGCGGCAUGCCUUACACAUGCAAGUCGAACGGCAGCACGGGAGCAAUCCUGGUGGCGAGUGGCGAACGGGUGAGUAAUAUAUCGGAACGUGCCCAGUCGUGGGGAUAACGUAGCGAAAGCUACGCUAAUACCGCAUACGAUCUAUGGAUGAAAGCGGGGGAUCGCAAGACCUCGCGCGAUUGGAGCGGCCGAUAUCAGAUUAGGUAGUUGGUGAGGUAAAGGCUCACCAAGCCGACGAUCUGUAGCUGGUCUGAGAGGACGACCAGCCACACUGGGACUGAGACACGGCCCAGACUCCUACGGGAGGCAGCAGUGGGGAAUUUUUGGACAAUGGGCGCAAGCCUGAUCCAGCAAUGCCGCGUGCAGGAUGAAGGCCUCGGUGUAAGNUCUUUGUCGGUAGAGUAAUGACGUGUACCGG
rnacentral:rRNA from 1 species